rnacentral:rRNA from 1 species
GAACGCUCGCUGUGUGCCUAAUACAUGCAUGUUGAACGGGAUGUAGCAAUACAUUCAGUAGCGAAUGGGUGAGUAACACGUACCUAACCUACCUUUAAGACUGGGAUAACUAUUGGAAACAAUAGCUAAUACCGGAUAUAGUUAUUUAUCGCAUGAUGAGUAAUAGAAAGGAGCUUCACAGCUUCACUUAAAAAUGGGGGUGCGGAACAUUAGUUAGUUGGUAGGGUAAUGGCCUACCAAGACGAUGAUGUUUAGCCGGGCCGAGAGGCUGUACGGCCACACUGGGACUGAGAUACGGCCCAGACUCCUACGGGAGGCAGCAGUAAGGAAUUUUCCACAAUGAGCGAAAGCUUGAUGGAGCGACACAGCGUGCAGGAUGAAGUUCUUCGGAAUGUAAACUGCUGUUAUAAGGGAAGAAAAAAUAGAAUAGGAAAUGAUUUUAUCUUGACGGUACCUUAUUAGAAAGCGACGGCAAACUAUGUGCCAGCAGCCGCGGUAAUACAUAGGUCGCAAGCGUUAUCCGGAAUUAUUGGGCGUAAAGCGUCCGUAGGUUUUUUGCUAAGUCUGGAGUUAAAUGCUGAAGCUCAACUUCAGUCCGCUUUGGAUACUGGCAAAAUAGAAUUAUAAAGAGGUUAGCGGAAUUCCUAGUGAAGCGGUGGAAUGCGUAGAUAUUAGGAAGAACACCAAUAGGCGAAGGCAGUUAACUGGUUAUAUAUUGACACUAAGGGACGAAAGCGUGGGGAGCAAACAGGAUUAGAUACCCUGGUAGUCCACGCCGUAAACGAUGAUCAUUAGUUGGUGGAAUAAUUUCACUAACGCAGCUAACGCGUUAAAUGAUCCGCCUGAGUAGUAUGCUCGCAAGAGUGAAACUUAAAGGAAUUGACGGGAACCCGCACAAGCGGUGGAGCAUGUGGUUUAAUUUGAAGAUACGCGUAGAACCUUACCCACUCUUGACAUCUUCUGCAAAGCUAUAGAGAUAUAGUGGAGGUUAACAGAAUGACAGAUGGUGCAUGGUUGUCGUCAGCUCGUGUCGUGAGAUGUUAGGUUAAGUCCUGCAACGAGCGCAACCCUUUUCUUUAGUUACUAAUAUUAAGUUAAGGACUCUAGAGAUACUGCCUGGGUAACCAGGAGGAAGGUGGGGACGACGUCAAAUCAUCAUGCCUCUUACGAGUGGGGCAACACACGUGCUACAAUGGUCGGUACAAAGAGAAGCAAUAUGGUGACAUGGAGCAAAUCUCAAAAAACCGAUCUCAGUUCGGAUUGAAGUCUGCAACUCGACUUCAUGAAGUCGGAAUCGCUAGUAAUCGUAGAUCAGCUACGCUACGGUGAAUACGUUCUCGGGUUUUGUACACACCGCCCGACACACCAUGGGAGUUGGUAAUGCCCAAAGUCGGUGAGUUAACUUCGGAGACCAUUGCCUAAGGCAGGACU